GCUAUGGUGGGUUAGUGGUUAGAAUGUCCGCCUCGGAUGCGGGAUGUCGUGGGUUCGAUCCGUGAUCGAGUCAUACCA